CGUCUUCCUCAAGAUCGCUGCCAGAAUCGAUGGGUUCAAAUUUGUCUGUGGCGCCCUCGGACGCAGGCGGAUCAGGGACUUGAAGGGAUUCGGUCUCAAUGAUGUGAGAAGUACGGGAUCGGAUGCCAAGAAAAUUAGGGUUGGAAACAACACCGAAGGAUUUGUAGUUCUGGAUGACGCUAGCCUUGUCGUCCCAUUUGGAGCGAUCGGCGUCGGAGAGAGAGCGAAGCUUUGGAGGAAGAUUGAAGGCGGGCUUGAACACGCGUGGGUUCUUCUUAGGGAGACUCCCCCGAACCUUAUGCCUUGAUGCCUUGUAUUUUCUUCUUGACCUUCCCAUCUCCCUCUCUCUCUCUCUCUCUCCGAGAGCGUC
rnacentral:misc_RNA from 1 species